rnacentral:rRNA from 1 species
AUUGAACGCUGGCGGCAGGCCUAACACAUGCAAGUCGAGCGAGCGGCGGACGGGUAAGUAAUAUCUGGGAAACUUCCUGCUGUAGGGGGAUAACUACAGGAAACGGUAACUCAUACCGCAUACCAUCAUAUGGGUCCAGAUGGGAUUAGCUAGUAGGUGGGGUACCGGCUCACCUAGGCGACGAUCCCUAGCUGGUCUGAGAGGAUGACCAGACACACUGGAACGGAGAAACGGUCCAGACUCCUACGGGAGGCAGCAGUGGGGAAUAUUGGACAAUGGGCGCAAGCCUGAUGCAGCCAUGCCGCGUGUAUGAAGAAGGCCUUCGGGUUGUAAAGUACUUUCAGCGGGGAGGCGUUACCCGCAGAAGAAGCACCGGCUAACUCCGUGCCAGCAGCCGCGGUAAUAC